AAUUGUAAACAUCAGCACUAUACGAGAUUAUCUCCCAUAAAAAUAGAACCAUUUAAUUCCUUUGACACUCAAUAAAAUAACACCAGCAUGAACUAAGCACAACUAUUGGCCGUUGCCUCUCAAAUGUCAUAAGGAGAGAUACUUUAGGGAUUCUCAUAAUCAUUGCCUGAGUCAACUUUCCCAUCCCCCAUCAAAUCUAAUCGGGCAUAUCCUUCAAGAGAUUAACCGAUAUGCAUAUUCUAGUAACACAGUCUUGGUUGAUUUCCGAUAGGAGAGUUGACGCAGAACACAGUUUAGGGGUUAUUUCACUUAUUUGGGAGUUUAUAGAGACCAUUCUAGUUAAGAUUUUUUUUAA